UUUAUGAGAGUUUGAUCCUGGCUCAGGAUUAACGCUGGCGGCGUGCCUAAUACAUGCAAGUCGACUGUGAACAGCGCAAGCUGUCGAACAGGGCGAACGGGUGAGUAACGCGUAGGAACGUCCUCCGAAGUCUGGGAUAACCCGCCGAAAGGCGGAGUAACACCGGAUAGCCUUAAAGCAGAAAUGGGGAUAGCGGUCGUGGAUUAGAUACCCAUGAUUGUAGAGUUCGUUUAGUGUUGCGCGUACAACUUGCGCAUACAAACUGACGAGAUACUCGGUAUCCCCUUCAAAACUUUGACAAGCACCAUGCUUGUCUCCCCAUUUCUGCUUUAAGUAAAGUUUACGCUUCGGAAGCGGCCUGCGUCCUAUCAGCUAGUUGGUGAGGUAAUGGCUUACCAAGGCGAUGACGGGUAACUGGUCUGAGAGGAUGAUCAGUCACAGUGGGACUGCGACACGGCCCACACUCCUACGGGAGGCAGCAGUAGGGAAUCGUCGGCAAUGGACGAAAGUCUGACCGCGCGACGCCGCGUGAAGGAAGAAGGUCUUCGGAUUGUAAACUUCUUUUAUGAGGGAAGAUUAUGACGGUACCUCAUGAAUAAGGGCCUGCUAACUACGUGCCAGCAGCAGCGGUAAUACGUAGGGCCC
rnacentral:rRNA from 1 species